rnacentral:rRNA from 1 species
UACGUAGGGUGCAAGCGUUGUCCGGAAUCAUUGGGCGUAAAGGGCGCGUAGGUGGCCCGGUCAGUUCGUGGUGAAAGCGCGGGGCUCAACCCUGCGUCGGCCAUGAAUACUGCCGCGGCUGGAGCACUGUAGAGGCAGGCGGAAUUCCGGGUGUAGCGGUGGAAUGCGUAGAGAUCCGGAAGAACACCGGUGGCGAAGGCGGCCUGCUGGGCAGUUGCUGGACACUGAGGCGCGACAGCGUGGGGAGCAAACAGGG